ensembl:miRNA aca-mir-5397 aca-mir-5397
AGUUGUUCGCAGCUCUCAUGUUACGCAGAAGUUUGCUUCAUCAGGCUGAAUAUGCCCUGCCUGGUAAAGCCUUCUGCCUAACCUGCAAGCUUGCAAGCUUC